GAAAGGCUUCGGCCGGACAGGGAUGGGCAUGCGGCGCAUUAGGCAGUAGGCGGGGUAACGGCCCACCUAACCGACGAUGCGUAGGGGUUCUGAGAGGAAGGUCCCCCACACUGGCACUGAGACACGGACCAGACUCCUACGGGAGGCAGCAGUGAGGAAUAUUGGUCAAUGGUCGGGAGACUGAACCAGCCAAGCCGCGUGAGGGAGGAAGGUACAGAGUAUCGUAAACCUCUUUUGUCAGGGAACAAAGACUGGGACGCGUCCCCGGAUGAGUGUACCUGAAGAAAAAGCAUCGGCUAACUCCGUGCCAGCAGCCGCGGUAAUACGGAGGAUGCGAGCGUUAUCCGGAUUUAUUGGGUUUAAAGGGUGCGCAGGCGGUCUGUUAAGUCAGCGGUCAAAGCCCGGGGCUCAACCCCGGCCCGCCGUUGAAACUGGCAGUCUCGAGUUGGAGAGAAGUAUGCGGAAUGCGCGGUGUAGCGGUGAAAUGCAUAGAUAUCGCGCAGAACUCCGAUUGCGAAGGCAGCAUGCCGGCUCCACACUGACGCUGAGGCACGAAAGCGUGGGUAUCGAACAGGAUUAGAUACCCUGGUAGUCCACGCAGUAAACGAUGAAUGCUGGCUGUCCGGGGGGACUGACCCCUGG
rnacentral:rRNA from 1 species